UACGUAGGGUGCGAGCGUUGUCCGGAAUUACUGGGCGUAAAGAGCUCGUAGGUGGUUUGUCGCGUUGUUCGUGAAAACUCACAGCUCAACUGUGGGCGUGCGGGCGAUACGGGCAGACUUGAGUACUGCAGGGGAGACUGGAAUUCCUGGUGUAGCGGUGGAAUGCGCAGAUAUCAGGAGGAACACCGGUGGCGAAGGCGGUUCUCUGGGCAUGUCCUGACGCUGAGGAGCGAAAGUGUGGGGAGCGAACAGG
rnacentral:rRNA from 1 species